GUUCUGGUGAUUCGUCGCAGGGGUCACACCCGAUCUCUUUCCGAACUCGGAAGUUAAGCCCUGUUGAGGCGAUGGUACCUCGCGCGAGCGGGGGAGAGUAGCUAGUCGCCAGAACA
rnacentral:rRNA from 2 species